rnacentral:tRNA from 1 species
GCCCGGAUGGUGAAAUCGGUAAACACAGCGGACUUAAAAUCCGCCGCCGCAAGGUUUACGGGUUCAAGUCCCGUUCCGGGUACCA